GUUGUAUAGUCAAGUAAUUAAGUGCAUGUGGUGGAUGCCUUGGCAGUCAGAGGCGAUGAAAGACGUGAUAGCCUGCGAAAAGCUCCGGGGAGGCGGCAAAUAUCCUUUGAUCCGGAGAUGUCUGAAUGGGGGAACCCACCUACUUUAAGGUAGGUAUUGCAACAUGAAUACAUAGUGUUGCAAGGCGAACGAGGGGAAGUGAAACAUCUCAGUACCCUUAGGAAAAGAAAUCAAUUGAGAUUCCCUCAGUAGCGGCGAGCGAACGGGGAUCAGCCCAUUAAGUUAUGUGUGUUUUAGUGGAACGCUCUGGGAAGUGCGAACGUAGAGGGUGAUAUUCCCGUACACGAAAGGGCACACAUAAUGAUGACGAGUAGGGCGAGGCACGUGAAACCUUGUCUGAAUAUGGGGGGACCAUCCUCCAAGGCUAAAUACUCCUGACUGACCGAUAGUGAACCAGUACCGUGAGGGAAAGGCGAAAAGAACCCCUGUGAGGGGAGUGAAAUAGAUCCUGAAACCGCAUGCAUACAAGCAGUGGGAGCACCUUCGUGGUGUGACUGCGUACCUUUUGUAUAAUGGGUCAGCGACUUAUAUUCAGUAGCGAGGUUAACCGUAUAGGGGAGCCGUAGAGAAAUCGAGUCUUAAUAGGGCGUUUAGUUGCUGGGUAUAGACCCGAAACCAGGCGAUCUAUCCAUGAGCAGGUUGAAGGUUGGGUAACACUAACUGGAGGACCGAACCCACUGUCGUUGAAAAGCCAGGGGAUGACUUGUGGAUAGGGGUGAAAGGCUAAUCAAGCCUGGUGAUAGCUGGUUCUCCCCGAAAGCUAUUUAGGUAGCGCCUCGGACGAAUACCAUAGGGGGUAGAGCACUGUUUCGGCUAGGGGGUCAUCCCGACUUACCAAACCGAUGCAAACUCCGAAUACCUAUGAGUACUAUCCGGGAGACAGACUGCGGGUGCUAACGUCCGUAGUCAAGAGGAAAACAAUCCAGACCGCCAGCUAAGGCCCCAAAAUCAUAGUUAAGUGGGAAACGAUGUGGGAAGGCAUAGACAGCUAGGAGGUUGGCUUANNNGAAGCAGCCACCCUUUAAAGAAAGCGUAAUAGCUCACUAGUCGAGUCGGCCUGCGCGGAAGAUGUAACGGGGCUAAAACUAUGUGCCGAAGCUGCGGAUGUAUACUUUGUAUACGUGGUAGGGGAGCGUUCUGUAAGCCGAUGAAGGUGUGUUGAGAAGCNNNAUGCUGGAGGUAUCAGAAGUGCGAAUGCUGACGUGAGUAACGACAAAACGGGUGAAAAACCCGUUCGCCGAAAGACCAAGGGUUCCAGUCCAACGUUAAUCGGGGCUGGGUGAGUCGACCCCUAAGGCGAGGCCGAAAGGCGUAGUCGAUGGGAAAAUGGUUAAUAUUCCAUUACUUCUGUGUAAUGCGAUGAGAGGACGGAGAAGGCUAAAUCAGCCUGGCGUUGGUUGUCCAGGUGAAAGGAUGUAGGCAUGUAUCUUAGGCAAAUCCGGGGUACUCUAUGCUGAGAUCUGAUAGCAAGCUGUACUUGUACAGCGAAGUGGUUGAUGCCAUGCUUCCAGGAAAAGUCUCUAAGCUUCAGUUACACAGGAAUCGUACCCGAAACCGACACAGGUGGUCAGGUCGAGUAGACCAAGGCGCUUGAGAGAACUCUGCUGAAGGAACUAGGCAAAAUGGUACCGUAACUUCGGGAGAAGGUACGCUGUUGUUGGUGAUGGAACUCGCUUCCUGAGCUGACGACAGCCGCAGAAACCAGGCCGCUGCAACUGUUUAUUAAAAACAUAGCACUCUGCAAACACGAAAGUGGACGUAUAGGGUGUGAUGCCUGCCCGGUGCUGGAAGGUUAAUUGAUGGGGUUAGCGUAAGCGAAGCUCUUGAUCGAAGCCCCAGUAAACGGCGGCCGUAACUAUAACGGUCCUAAGGUAGCGAAAUUCCUUGUCGGGUAAGUUCCGACCUGCACGAAUGGCAUAAUGAUGGCGGCGCUGUCUCCAGCAGAGGCUCAGUGAAAUCGAAAUCGCUGUGAAGAUGCAGUGUACCCGCGGCUAGACGGAAAGACCCCGUGAACCUUUACUGCAGCUUGACACUGAACUUUGACCUUACUUGUGUAGGAUAGGUGGGAGGCUUUGAAGCUGGAACGCUAGUUCCAGUGGAGCCGUCCUUGAAAUACCACCCUGGUAAUGUUGAGGUUCUAACUCUGUCCCGUGAUCCGGGACGAGGACCGUGUCUGGUGGGUAGUUUGACUGGGGCGGUCUCCUCCUAAAGAGUAACGGAGGAGUACGAAGGUGCGCUCAGCGUGGUCGGAAAUCACGCGUAGAGUAUAAAGGCAAAAGCGCGCUUAACUGCGAGACCCACAAGUCGAGCAGGUACGAAAGUAGGUCUUAGUGAUCCGGUGGUUCUGUAUGGAAGGGCCAUCGCUCAACGGAUAAAAGGUACUCUGGGGAUAACAGGCUGAUACCGCCCAAGAGUUCAUAUCGACGGCGGUGUUUGGCACCUCGAUGUCGGCUCAUCUCAUCCUGGGGCUGAAGCAGGUCCCAAGGGUAUGGCUGUUCGCCAUUUAAAGAGGUACGCGAGCUGGGUUUAGAACGUCGUGAGACAGUUCGGUCCCUAUCUACCGUGGGCGCUGGAAAUUUGAGAGGAUCUGCUCCUAGUACGAGAGGACCAGAGUGGACGAACCUCUGGUGUACCGGUUGUGACGCCAGUCGCAUCGCCGGGUAGCUAUGUUCGGAAGGGAUAACCGCUGAAAGCAUCUAAGCGGGAAGCCUACCUCAAGAUAAGAUUUCCCUAGGACUUUAUGUCCUCUAAAGAGCCGUUCGAGACUAGGACGUUGAUAGGUUGGAUGUGGAAGCAUAGUGAUAUGUGAAGCUGACCAAUACUAAUUGCUCGUGAGGCUUGACUAUACAACACCCAAGCAGUUG
rnacentral:rRNA from 1 species